GCCGACCCCACCCACUCCCUACUCCUUCACUACCACAGAGAAAUACUAAGGAAGGGAUAGAGGAAGAGAGACAGACAGACACGCAGGGAGGGAGAAAGAAAGAGACAGAGAAAGGGACAGAGGGGGAGGGAGGUGUCCCUCUAUAGUUUCAGCACCUUCUCAAAAGGACUAUCCUUUUUUCCUGCUUGAAAGGAAUUGCAGGGUAGCAUGGGGGGGUAAAGAAUGCACGCACGCACGCACGCACACACACACACGCUCUCUCUCUCUCGGUUCUUUACACACCCAUACAUCAGAACUUGUUUGUUUGAAACGUUAAAUCGGAGCAUUUUUUCUGUUUACGUGUGAGUGUUUGCAGGCGUGUGUUCUCGUGAUUGUUUUUGUGAAUACAUUGACGUGCUAACUAUAGAAAGUGUCUGAGGAUAUCAUUCAUGCUGGGUUAGGGUUAUCACAGAGAAUCACAGAAAGGUGCAAAGCUACAUCAAAGCAGACACACACGCACACGGUCUCACAAACAUACACACACAGUCUCACACACAAACGCUACCACCUGCACACAACACUGAGUAGUCAUGUCGCCGAGAGCAGCCGAGGGGUGGGGCUCUGUCCCUCAGGGAGCUGAGUGACAUCACAGAGGACGCCUUGCCAUGGCAACCGUUGGGGAAUCUGAGAGCAUCCUACAUUUGGAAGUGUAUGAAAGACCUUACAGGAAAGCAGAUGAAGGGCUGAAGAAUGUCUGCUUCACCUGUUCAACUCGUGCUGUUUGUGUCUAAGUGUGUGAAAGAGAGAGAGAGAACAUGUUUCACUACAUAAAAUAGGGGGGUCAUCUGUGAGCUACUUUGUGCUUCUUUGCAACUGAGUUGGUAGAGCAUGAUGCCUGAAAUUCCGUGGGAGAGGGUUCGAUUCCCAAAACCCCCUGUAUGCAAAUUUCAUGAGCUCUGUGGGUGGAUUACAUGGCAGAAAGAGGAAGUAGCAUCACCACAGAAGGAUGUGUUUCCUUGCACGGACAAAGACAGCAUCCCAAUCCGACAACUUCCAUGCGUCUCUGUGUGUCUCCGCACGCGUUUGCUGACAGCGAGUCGCAUGUUUGCCGCCCAUCUCCCUCAGGACUCUGACCCUCCCAAACCAUCAUAUUAAAGGAGCCUCCCGCAUCCUAGAGAAAGAGUACAAGUCAUUCAGAGCCACCUUAAAGGCUCUCUGUGUAAACAGCUCUCUCAUCAUUGCAGUCUCUUCUUUCUUAGACAGAUUUCAGAUCCAGUCUUUUCCACUUUUCCUUUGAUUUCCUCAACCACUCCGUUCCGAUCUGUCACCUUAAAUAUCUCUACUCUGCCGCACUCUCUCUGUCACACACACACACCCCUGUCCUUGAUUCUCUCUCACAUGUUCCCGUCUCUAUCUUCCCCUGUGCGUUGUCUGUCUUUUUGAGUUAAAUAUUAAUUACCGAGCCCCUUCCUGACACUGUCCCACGGGCAGAUUGGAGAGCAGGAGCUCUGCACGCUCACACACAAACACACAAGAAACGCAUGGCUCCCUGUGUUC